AGAUGGGGAUGAUGUGGGAUCAUAAGAUGCUAACCUUUUGUUCAGUGGUCAUAAAGCAAGAAUCACCUGUAUGAGAUAUAGACUGCCUUAAUCGGAUAUACAUUCGGCGGCGGCAUGUUCGAGAUGAAUGAAGUGAAGGGUGGCAGUCCGUACAGUGCCCAAACUUAUGCUGCUGGUGAUGGAUCAAGACAACCAACUAAACUUGAGUUGGAGCAAGCAUUCCACCAAAGAAAGUAUAUUGCCACCAUCACUAAGAAGCUCAAGAAAGAAUGAAGCUAUCCAUAAAUUAAGAUAUUGAAUACUGAUGAGUCCACUAGUAGUUACUUGUCAUCUAAUGUAUUCAGUUUGUAUUAUUGCAUGGAAAUAAUUGCUUGUUAUUAUAAAGAAAGCGCUUUGUA